rnacentral:rRNA from 1 species
AUUGAACGCUGGCGGCAUGCCUUACACAUGCAAGUCGAACGGUAACGCGGGGCAACCUGGCGACGAGUGGCGAACGGGUGAGUAAUGCAUCGGAACGUGCCUAGUAGUGGGGGAUAGCCCGGCGAAAGCCGGAUUAAUACCGCAUACGACCUACGGGUGAAAGAGGGGGAUCGCAAGACCUCUCGCUAUUUGAGCGGCCGAUGUCAGAUUAGGUAGUUGGUGGGGUAAAGGCCUACCAAGCCGACGAUCUGUAGCUGGUCUGAGAGGACGACCAGCCACACUGGGACUGAGACACGGCCCAGACUCCUACGGGAGGCAGCAGUGGGGAAUUUUGGACAAUGGGCGCAAGCCUGAUCCAGCCAUGCCGCGUGCGGGAAGAAGGCCUUCGGGUUGUAAACCGCUUUUGUCAGGGAAGAAACGCGCUGAGCUAAUACCUCGGCGUAAUGACGGUACCUGAAGAAUAAGCACCGGCUAACUACGUGCCAGCCGCCGCCGUAAGAC